rnacentral:rRNA from 1 species
UAGUUAUAAACUUUGAUUUAUCCGCCAGAAUACUACGAGCAACAGCUUAAAACUCAAAGGACUUGGCGGUGCUCUACACCCCCCUAGAGGAGCCUGUUCUAUAAUCGAUAAUCCACGAUAAACCUCACCAUCUAUUGCCAAUACAGCCUAUAUACCACCGUCCAGCCCACCCUUCAAAGGGCCAACAGUAGGCAUAAUUAUAAACAUAAGAACGUCAGGUCAAGGUGUAGCAUAUAAAAUGGGAAGAAAUGGGCUACAUUUUCUAAAUUAGAAAACUACGGAAAAGCUUGUGAAACAAAACUAUAAAGGAGGAUUUAGCAGUAAAAAGAAAAAAGAGUGUUCUUUUUAAACCG